CGGCCUUUGCUAGUAUCCGUACGAAGAUGACCUGUUCGAAGCUUCAAUGCCACUGGAGUGCUAACACCUUGCAGACGUCGCUUCUUUGCUUGAAUCUGGAUCCUCAUCUUCUAGAUCUUAAAGAAGAGGGCUACAGUGCAAACCCUUCGUGUUCAUCUGACAGGAUCUUUUCAGGAUGCCAAGAAGAAAAAUAAAAUAAUUAUUUUCUCUUCCUCUCUCUCCAAUCUCUCUCUCUCUCUCUCUCAGAUCUGAUCUGAGAACAAAGUUAGGCGUGGGAUGGAAGAAGGAGAGGAGAAGGCGUGAAGAUUGUUUUACGGCAAGGAAGGAACCUUUUUCACUAAUCAUCGAACCCCAACACCUUUUUAUUUUCUUUUGUCACACAAAAUUGCCUCCCAACACCCAACACUGAUUAGAUAUGAUUCCCUUCUAG
rnacentral:lncRNA from 1 species